ACGGGGGAGGGACACGUUCAAUGAACAUCACACUCAAUGGCAAAUAACCUUAAGCUUCCUUUGGCCAAAUCAGGCAGAAAAGGCAUCCUUCAAAUCCAGAAGGUAAACUCCACCUACUCUUUCCCUAACUUGGUUAAUAACACGUAUGCAUUUACCACCACGGAGUGUAUGCAUUCAACAGUUCUACUGCUAUCUUACUUGCUAUCCAAUUCUUAUAUACUUGCUAUCCAAUUUUUCAUCAGCAAGAUUGGAGUACUGUAUUUGGAUUCACAUUCAAUUAGUAAUCCGAAAUCCAAAAGUUAUCAUUAUUUCUUUUAUCCUUCUACAGUUGCAUAUCCUCAAAGGGCACUGCUUUACCCUGACUGGGCUAGCUCUAGCUCUUGCUUAGGGCUGCCUUUUGGCUCUACCAGGUAUCCCUGAUACCCACACUCUUAAGCAAACCUUAUUUCAGAUUUCGGCAACUUCUGGGGGUUCAACAUUUUUUCCCAGUUUGUGUUAAAGCCCGACUUACAAUUCUCCAUCGGUUAAUAUUGUUUGACGUUUAGCUCCAGUUUUAUUCAAGUUAACCUUUGCAUCCAUUUGUUCUAAUAAGUCUUGCCAGAAUAACAGUUUUGGAGAGCCUGGCAUGUACAAGAAUUUAUGUAUUCCUACUUAUUUUCUCAGCCUAUAUUUAAUUGAUUCCUAAAGGUAAGCUUUUUCUUCUUGGGCAGUAGCUCCUACCACUGCUGCAAAAUCAUCUACGGGUGGUAAGAGGCACCCGUCCCCACCAGAAAAUAAACCUCGUUAUCCUGCUCUCCUAGCUGCAAUUUAAACAGAGGAUCUGAUUUCUGUCCUCCUUGGUUCUGACAUCCCUGUUACGCCUUGCCUUCCUCAGCCUGCGUCCUUCCCAAACCUUUCACUCUCCAAACUCUCAUUAUUACAUAAACCACUACCAUUACAUUUCAGUCUCACCUCCUCCUCUCCGAAGGCUUCCAGUGCUAACACUGCAAUUUCGGGUUUCCUAGAUAUCUGCGCAUGAAGGCUAUUCUCACUUCCAGUGCCCCUUCCUCUCCACCUCCCCCCAUUCACAAGUAACGCUGUUUACAACAGCAGUCUCUGACCCCGGCUCUCUCUCACUCUGAGAGUUCUGCUCUCGGGGGAACCGUGUGGGGGGGGUUGCUCUCAUAGCAGCGCAGAUAAACUCACUUUCUCUUUAACCCUUUUCGCUUUGUCCACUAUUCAUACCUUCAGUCACACUUCUGUAUGCCAUCAGACCAUCAAAACUGUUUGUCCCAUUCCCUUCAGAACCCACAGAUCAAACAAUACAGUUCUUCAGUUUC
rnacentral:lncRNA from 1 species